GGCUUUCUAGUGCUUAUUGCAGGCUGUGUUCUUACACUGACUGUGAAGAAAGGGCAAGUAGCUUAAACCCACCCCUUUUCUACCUCAGCCUAGGUGCUGUGCCUGGUCUCCAUUAUGAAUGAAGAAACAUGA
rnacentral:snoRNA from 1 species